rnacentral:lncRNA from 1 species
CGUUGUAUACCUCGGCAGAUAAAUGAUAACGCGCCGUUAGACCGUGAUAACGGGAAGAUUAUAGGUAUGUUAUACGUUCGAAUACAAUUCCAUCACAUCUUUUAUCUGUUAUACGUCUGUAAUGUUUGUUUGAAAAGUUAAUAGGUAUAAUGCACUCUUCAAUUUCUGUGUUACGGCGUCUAUACGGCGGUAGUACGUCAGAGUUACUGCAUCGACCGCGACUGUUCCCCGCAUAUACGUUAUACCUGCUGAACAAUGUCUGAUUGUAAACGAAAAGACACCGCAGAAAAUGACAAAUUAUUUAUUCAUUCAUUUCGUUCAUGCAGCGCCAAAAAUAUAACGCUUCAGUCGCUAUGUAUAUAUUUCGCGGAUUUGUCUUCUUUGUCGUUGGAUUUGUAAGUAUGAUUCUGUUUUUACGAGUAUCCGAAGUCCCCCUCCCUCCUCUCAUCGUCAGUCUGGAGACUCGACUUCGUCUGAUUUCGGCAAAGAGUAUAGAAAAACAUAAAAAAAAUAGAUUUCACUCUGCAGGUUUGCGAACGUCGGACCGAAUAUGAUUUCGAAGCACACAACGAUCGACGUUCGCGUAAUUCGAUAUCGUCGGAUAAAUCGGAUCAGACGUCACAGCGUGAAGAAGGAGCAGGAGCAGGAGGAGGCUGUGGAGGUGGAGCAGGAAGAGGAGAAUCGGUCGGAGUAGAGAAGGCGGACGCUGAGAAGAGGGGCAAACGUGGAACGAGGAGGGGGGAAAAGUUAGGGAAACAAGAUGCUGGAGCACGAACGAACGAAUGAACGAACGAACGAACGAACGGAGGAACGGAGGGACGAAGAGCGAAGACUGCAGACGACGCGACGCGACUGAUGGAUGGUGGAAUAAAAUGGUAGUCCGGGUCAAGGCCCAAGGGUCACAGCGAAGGAGUAACGUCGUUCUAUGCAAGACGCAUACUAUAAGCGACGCGCGUUAGGUUGUAUACCUAUUUGUCCUUGACACGGAGCUGCACGGAGCAACGUUGGGAAUCCUCGGAUAUAAACGUGAAAUAACGAGAAAAUCAAAUCUCGACAAAACCUCGUCUGCACAGCGACAUAUGAAAAUAAUAAAUUCGAGGGUGCCGAAAUUUUAGAGAAAAUACAACAGCCGAUUCAUGACCGGAGACAGGUGCAACAGCUCCUCGAGUUUAGGUAUUGCAUAUCACGGGAUUAGGUUGGGUCGAGUUGGGUAUAAGACGGGCGAGGUGCGUUGUUGGGAAUUGUAAGGUACCUACGCGUUGCGGAAGCAAGGGUACAAUUGACAGUCCAUACCGCGUGUAGUGCGCUACGCGGUACGAGGACAUUUUGGAAAGAGGAUACGUGUCCGGAACGGUGAAAUUCUUAACUUGGUCAUAACGUCUCCGAUCUCGACCCAGAUAUGGAUAUGAAAAUUCGGGUAAACGUGCGAGUUUUUUCUUCCGAUGAUCAUGCAUGUAUUGGAAGGUACGCAGAUCGUAGCCGCGCGGUAUAUGCAUGUAUACAUAUACGUAUGCGCGAAGAAUUAUAAAUUCAUGUGUAUGUAAUUAACCGAGGGGCAGAUAAUAUUACGUUAUCUCGUA